rnacentral:tRNA from 1 species
UCUUGGGUAGCUUAAAUUAAAGCAUAACUUUGAAGGUGUUAUUAUGGGCUUUCCCCCUAAGUU